rnacentral:rRNA from 1 species
GACGAACGCUGGCGGCGUGCCUAACACAUGCAAGUCGAGCGAGGAGAGUUCCUUCGGGAACAAACCUAGCGGCGGACGGGUGAGUAACACGUGGCAACCUGCCUUGUAGAGGGAAUAGCCUUCCGAAAGGAAGAUUAAUACCGCAUAACAUUACAGUUUCGCAUGAAACAGUAAUUAAAGGAGUAAUCCGCUACAAGAUGGGCCCGCGGCGCAUUAGCUAGUUGGUGAGGUAACGGCUCACCAAGGCGACGAUGCGUAGCCGACCUGAGAGGGUGAUCGGCCACAUUGGGACUGAGACACGGCCCAGACUCCUACGGGAGGCAGCAGUGGGGAAUAUUGCACAAUGGGGGAAACCCUGAUGCAGCAACGCCGCGUGAGUGAUGAAGGUUUUCGGAUCGUAAAGCUCUGUCUUCGGGGACGAUAAUGACGGUACCCGAGGAGGAAGCCGCGGCUAACUACGUG